rnacentral:lncRNA from 1 species
UGCUGGGAUUACAGGCGUUAGCCACCGCGCCUGGCCAGGUGCAUAAUGUUUUAAGGCACUAUGGUAGUUCAUGAAUUUUAACUAAGUGGAGGGAGGUAGUGGGAGAAUUGAGCCAGUUUACUCAUGGGGCAUGUGGACUCCGGGGCAAGCAGAGCUCAAAAGAACCUGGGCAAAAGCAAUCCUUUAAGUUAGAAGAAUGUAGGAAAUGAUUUGAGGGAGGAUGAGUUGAGCAAAUCCUGUCUUUGUACAACUUGUUCAUUAGCAGCAAGUGUAGUAGGAAACAAUGACAUUGUUUUACAUUUCUGAUUUGAGUAAUAAUUAGAUUAGGACACCAAUUCAAGCCAAAUUGCAUUAAUGACCACAAUGUCCACCUUAGUUUUACAGGAGUUAUUGGGUAACUGCAUAAAACCAGGCAUUCCAGGAUUGUUUGGAGGUGGUUUUGACCAAGUAUGAGGUCUACCUUGAGGUAGCAAAGAACUGAAGUUAUUAACACCAUUUUGUACAGAAUAAUUAUCUGAACAUUUUCUGCAUUCAUGUUAUUGACAAAAUCAAUAGACAAAAGUUGGUGUGCUCUCAUGUUUUGUUCUAAUAUGCAUUUAAUUAAUAAUGAUAUAUAAAAUGCUAUUUUUUCUUUGUUCCAAUGUUACUUUCUUGUGAAAAAAGACAUCCAAGACAAAAAUCUACUACUCACAUUAAGUUGUCCUUUGUCCUAGUUACCAUUACAUAUUCAGUUUUACAUAUUUUAACAAUAUUGUGGUUAGACUUUGGAUUUAUACAUUUCACUUAGCAUACUGUGAAUAUUUUCCAAUUUUGCAAAUCUGUUUGUUAUCUCCCUUUAUGCUCUUCUUAUACAUUCUUUGUUGACCACCAGCAUGACCACCAUCACCAGGCAAAUGUUGUUUGCCCAGGUAUGUAAGCCUGUACAUAUUUCUCCAUAAUCAUGUAAGCCUCUCCAAAGAUAUACAGACACAUGUACACCACAUAGAAAUAUAUAAAAUAUAUGUUAGAGAUUGUGAAUUUGUCAUUUGCUUUUACUAAAGUGAGAUCAUAAACUAUAUUUCUUAACCACUUUUUUUUUGCUUAAUUCAUCCGGACAGCCACCAGAUCAAUACACUACAGAUCCUACUUGUUUUAAAUAGUGACAUAGUUAUUCCUACUGUAGAGGUACAUGUUUAUUUACUUUUUCCCCAUUGAUGGUCAUUCAAGCUGUUUUCAUGUUUUUUGUCAUUACAAUGUCACAGUAAGUCUCAGAUUCGACCUUACAUUGUUAGGACUAGGAUCACUAGAUCAAAGGACUUUCUUGCAAAAAUGCCUGUUUGGGAUUCCUCAGAGUACAGACAAAAAGGAAGGCUUGAUCAGCAUGUGGUGGAUCUGAAGAUUCAAAGAGGUGCCACAGCUCAAAAGUAGACAUUUUGGCAAAUGUGAAGAAGUGAGAUUCAAUGAAGAUGAUAAGAAAUGAAAGGUGUUACCAAAAUUACACAAGUAUUUCUGUCAUUUUCCUACUAAAUUACAUGAAGGGGGUUGUCUGCUUAUGAGCUGCACCACCGAGCAGCAUGCCUAUCAGCGAGAAGGUGCCUGACAAUUCUCAGUUGAAAUGUCCUGACCAAGUUCCCCCAGAAAUUUAUGACUAAUAACAAAAGGGAAAAGCUACCCUCACAAGGAGAUGUCCAGUUGACACUAUCUCAACCAAAAUUAUUAAACAUAGCAUCAGCAAUCGUGGGACAAACAGACGCAAACAUCUCCUGGUGUGAGGCGAGGAAAGAAGACGACUUUACCAUGUGAACCCCUGUGGCUUCCUCAGAGACUGUCUGCUCUGGCACAUGCUCCUCCAGGUCUU